rnacentral:rRNA from 1 species
AGGAGGGCAUGGUGGCUUGUGACACAGCCUUUGGUGAAAACCUAGGUGCAACAGCUUCUAGUGCAUAUCUUGGUGGUAGUAGCAAUUAUUCAAAUGAAAACUUUGAAGACUGAAGUGGAGAAGGGUUUCAUGUGAACAGUGCUUGGACAUGGGUUAGCCGGUCAUAAGAGAUAGGUAUGUUUGCGC